GUAUGUGUGUGUGUGUGUGUGUGUAUGUAUCUAUAUAUAUAUAUAUAUAUACAUACACAUAUAUAUAUAUAUAUAUAUAUAUAUAUAUAUAUAUAGAUACAUACACACACACACACACACACGGCG